ACUGUUUGAGUGUUUGCAGAUUAUGAUGAGCAUGCAAUGUGCUUCAUACGAUGGCAGAGGGAAUGCAGUCCAAUUCAAGUUCCCAAGUGCGUAUGAAAGGAAUUGUUUUUGGACUGAAUCU